UCAACACCAUUAGCUAACACAAUGUAGCAUUAGAACACAGGAGUGAUGGUUGCUGGAAAUGUUCCUCUGUACCUCUAUGGAGAUAUUCCAUUAAAAAUCAGCUGUUUCCAGCUACAAUAGUCAUUUACCACAUUAACAAUGUCUACACUGGAUUUAUCAUUCAUUUCAUGUUAUCUUAAUUUUUUUUUAACUGCCUUUCUUUCAAAAAUGAGGACAUUUCUAAAUGACCUCAAACUUCUGAAUGGGAGUGUAAGUGUUAGAAGAUGUAACCCAACAUCCCAACAUAAGUUCCAGUAAAAUCUUUCAUAGUUAAGUCUGUUUGAUCAUAAGGAAUAGUUGGAAGUUAAAAUCUUACCUUUGGUGUGUUAAUAAAAUGUCUGCUCUAUUUGUGUUGUCAUUUUCCUAAUACGGGUUUCAUUUCAGCCUGUAAUUCAUUGAUUAAUCAUUGGGCUGUGAAACUAAAGCUGAAAUUAGUUACACUUGUAAGUUGGGAUGAUUGUCAAGACUGAGUGUCAAUACAGCUCAUUAAAAUAACAUUUAGAAUCCAGAAAGUUUAAACACAUCACUGGUAAUGAGGAUUCAUCACGACAAGGGAACCUUUUCUCAUGACAUGUCAUUUGAGACAAUUGUAAUACAAAAAUAUUAACAGGUGCAACUUCAAGUGUUGAAUCUCAACUGUUUUACAAAGCUCUAUUAUUACCGGUGUUGUCUGUAUUGUUGCUUACAAACACAUUUAUUAUUUUGGUGAUGAAAACUUGAGAUCAUUCCAGACGUACAUUGUGAACACAGUCCUUGUUUUCUCUUCAGCUGUUUAAAAGAACAGGGUCAGGCUGUGUUUGUAAAAGCCCCCAAUCCCUGCGAUUUACCUCUAGUAUUAUCUCUCUGUGGGUCAUAUUAAUAGGCAUAAACAAAGGCUUUCCCGUUCAUGUACUGCCUGCACAUGUGUGUUCUCUUGGAUGAAGUAUUGCCCUCAAUUUAUAGCUCUCUGUGUGUGACAGCAGGGGAGGGCCUUUAGUCCACCAAAUAAGAGAAACCACAGCACAGUGAGUUUUCCUUUUUUGACACAAGCAUUCAGUCACUCUCACCAAACAUCACAUCACAUUCCCAUCAAAACACCACACUUCCUUAAGAGCAGAAUAACCUCAGAGGUGACAUCCACUGAAAAACAAAGUCUUCAAGGUGAUUAAUGUGUUUCAUCUUACUUUUAUAUGUAAAUCAGAACACACCUGUGAAGUUAUUUUUAUUUUCUUUCAGUCCUCACUGAAUCUCAACCGUCUUCUUCCCCACGGGACUGUGUGCUCCAUGACGGCUAGAGAGCCGGGACGUGUGUCAGGACCUUUGAUGUUUCUGAAGUUGACAGGUGCAGUGGAGACAGACAGGAAAGGAGGGAGAAGAGUGGGGGGAAGACAUGCAGCAAAGGGCCAUGAGCGGGAAUCAAACCCAGGCCACUGCGUCGGGGACCAGCCCCUGGACAUGGAUCAUCCAUUUAACUCCUUGACCUAUCCGGGCGCCCCCUGAUGAGUUUCAAGGGGUGUAGAGAUAAUGGAUGGUUGUUUCUAAUAUAGAAGUAAAUUCAUUUCUUGGGGACUGUUUUCUGAAGACCUACCUGUUCUCAGCUGCUUUUGACUAAGUUCUUCUAAGAGUUAUUUUAAAUCUUAUUUUAUGACAAACUCUGCAGUGUAACUUUUAAAAUGUCCUUGCUUCCCAACUUUUGUUUUUGAUUCUUUUACUUUUCUGCAUCCUUAAAUUUUAAUGACCUUUUUAAUGAUUUUAUAAAUGUUUUCUUUCUUUUUAUAAUUGUGUUUUCAUCUGCUGUUUUAAUGUCCUUGUGAAGCACUUUGAAUCACCUUGUUGUUGAAAUGUGCUAUAUAAAUAAACUAACUUUAACUUUAA